UCGUCCCUGCUCCAGUGAGAGAGGAGACUACGUAAAUGGCAUAUGGAUACCAGGAGCUGAGGAUCACCGGGGGCUGACUUAGAUGCUGAUUGCCAGGGAAAACGGGAAGAGAAUUACUGAAAUAAUGCCCUUGCAUGGGCACAAGCACAUGGGAUCUAGCACAGAAGCAGAGGGAAUAGCCCUUGUUAGGUGCAGAGAAGUCACUGAUAGGAACAGUGUAUCGGUGCAAUUGCAAAAGGUAGGCUUCAUGCCCAGUGAGGAGCCCAAGUUGGGGCUUGAACUCACAACCCUGAGAUCAAGACCUGAGCUGAGAUCAAGAGUUGGACACUUAACCAACUGAGCCAUCCAGAUGCGAAAGAGGGAUCAUGCAGUCUGCUGUUUCUUCAAGAAGCCACCUUGUGAUCAGGAGGAAAGUCAGCCAAGGAUACAGCCAAAAAGACCACAAAGAAACUUUGCCAGACAUGGCUGAACUGAGCUUAAAGCCUACUCUACCUCUGGAUAUUUGAGGGAAACUAGCCAAUAAAAUUCUUUUUGU